UUAAGUUAUUAAGGGCGCACGGUGGAUGCCUUGGCACUAGAAGCCGAUGAAGGACGUUACUAACGACGAUAUGCUUUGGGGAGCUGUAAGUAAGCUUUGAUCCAGAGAUUUCCGAAUGGGGAAACCCAGCAUGAGUUAUGUCAUGUUAUCGAUAUGUGAAUACAUAGCAUAUCAGAAGGCACACCCGGAGAACUGAAACAUCUUAGUACCCGGAGGAAGAGAAAGAAAAUUCGAUUCCCUUAGUAGCGGCGAGCGAAACGGGAAGAGCCCAAACCAACAAGCUUGCUUGUUGGGGUUGUAGGACACUCUAUACGGAGUUACAAAGGACGACAUUAGACGAAUCAUCUGGAAAGAUGAAUCAAAGAAGGUAAUAAUCCUGUAGUCGAAAAUGUUGUCUCUCUUGAGUGGAUCCUGAGUACGACGGAGCACGUGAAAUUCCGUCGGAAUCUGGGAGGACCAUCUCCUAAGGCUAAAUACUCUCUAGUGACCGAUAGUGAACCAGUACCGUGAGGGAAAGGUGAAAAGCACCCCGGAAGGGGAGUGAAAUAGAACCUGAAACCGUGUGCUUACAAGUAGUCAGAGCCCGUUAAUGGGUGAUGGCGUGCCUUUUGUAGAAUGAACCGGCGAGUUACGAUUUGAUGCAAGGUUAAGCAGUAAAUGUGGAGCCGUAGCGAAAGCGAGUCUGAAUAGGGCGUUUAGUAUUUGGUCGUAGACCCGAAACCAGGUGAUCUACCCUUGGUCAGGUUGAAGUUCAGGUAACACUGAAUGGAGGACCGAACCGACUUACGUUGAAAAGUGAGCGGAUGAACUGAGGGUAGCGGAGAAAUUCCAAUCGAACCUGGAGAUAGCUGGUUCUCUCCGAAAUAGCUUUAGGGCUAGCCUCAAGUGAUGAUUAUUGGAGGUAGAGCACUGUUUGGACGAGGGGCCCCUCUCGGGUUACCGAAUUCAGACAAACUCCGAAUGCCAAUUAAUUUAACUUGGGAGUCAGAACAUGGGUGAUAAGGUCCGUGUUCGAAAGGGAAACAGCCCAGACCACCAGCUAAGGUCCCAAAAUAUAUGUUAAGUGGAAAAGGAUGUGGCGUUGCCCAGACAACUAGGAUGUUGGCUUAGAAGCAGCCAUCAUUUAAAGAGUGCGUAAUAGCUCACUAGUCGAGUGACACUGCGCCGAAAAUGUACCGGGGCUAAACAUAUUACCGAAGCUGUGGAUUGUCCUUUGGACAAUGGUAGGAGAGCGUUCUAAGGGCGUUGAAGCAUGAUCGUAAGGACAUGUGGAGCGCUUAGAAGUGAGAAUGCCGGUGUGAGUAGCGAAAGACGGGUGAGAAUCCCGUCCACCGAUUGACUAAGGUUUCCAGAGGAAGGCUCGUCCGCUCUGGGUUAGUCGGGUCCUAAGCUGAGGCCGACAGGCGUAGGCGAUGGAUAACAGGUUGAUAUUCCUGUACCACUUAUAAUCGUUUUAAUCGAUGGGGGGACGCAGUAGGAUAGGCGAAGCGUGCGAUUGGAUUGCACGUCUAAGCAGUAAGGCUGAGUAUUAGGCAAAUCCGGUACUCAUUAAGGCUGAGCUGUGAUGGGGAGAAGACAUUGUGUCUUCGAGUCGUUGAUUUCACACUGCCGAGAAAAGCCUCUAGAUAGAAAAUAGGUGCCCGUACCGCAAACCGACACAGGUAGUCAAGAUGAGAAUUCUAAGGUGAGCGAGCGAACUCUCGUUAAGGAACUCGGCAAAAUGACCCCGUAACUUCGGGAGAAGGGGUGCUCUUUAGGGUUAACGCCCAGAAGAGCCGCAGUGAAUAGGCCCAAGCGACUGUUUAUCAAAAACACAGGUCUCUGCUAAACCGUAAGGUGAUGUAUAGGGGCUGACGCCUGCCCGGUGCUGGAAGGUUAAGAGGAGUGGUUAGCUUCUGCGAAGCUACGAAUCGAAGCCCCAGUAAACGGCGGCCGUAACUAUAACGGUCCUAAGGUAGCGAAAUUCCUUGUCGGGUAAGUUCCGACCCGCACGAAAGGCGUAACGAUUUGGGCACUGUCUCAACGAGAGACUCGGUGAAAUCAUAGUACCUGUGAAGAUGCAGGUUACCCGCGACAGGACGGAAAGACCCCGUGGAGCUUUACUGUAGCCUGAUAUUGAAAUUCGGCACAGCUUGUACAGGAUAGGUAGGAGCCUUUGAAACGUGAGCGCUAGCUUACGUGGAGGCGCUGGUGGGAUACUACCCUAGCUGUGUUGGCUUUCUAACCCGCACCACUUAUCGUGGUGGGAGACAGUGUCAGGCGGGCAGUUUGACUGGGGCGGUCGCCUCCUAAAAGGUAACGGAGGCGCUCAAAGGUUCCCUCAGAAUGGUUGGAAAUCAUUCAUAGAGUGUAAAGGCAUAAGGGAGCUUGACUGCGAGACCUACAAGUCGAGCAGGGUCGAAAGACGGACUUAGUGAUCCGGUGGUUCCGCAUGGAAGGGCCAUCGCUCAACGGAUAAAAGCUACCCCGGGGAUAACAGGCUUAUCUCCCCCAAGAGUUCACAUCGACGGGGAGGUUUGGCACCUCGAUGUCGGCUCAUCGCAUCCUGGGGCUGUAGUCGGUCCCAAGGGUUGGGCUGUUCGCCCAUUAAAGCGGUACGCGAGCUGGGUUCAGAACGUCGUGAGACAGUUCGGUCCCUAUCCGUCGUGGGCGUAGGAAAUUUGAGAGGAGCUGUCCUUAGUACGAGAGGACCGGGAUGGACAUACCUCUGGUGUACCAGUUGUCGUGCCAACGGCAUAGCUGGGUAGCUAUGUGUGGACGGGAUAAGUGCUGAAAGCAUCUAAGCAUGAAGCCCCCCUCAAGAUGAGAUUUCCCAACUUCGGUUAUAAGAUCCCUCAAAGAUGAUGAGGUUAAUAGGUUCGAGGUGGAAGCAUGGUGACAUGUGGAGCUGACGAAUACUAAUCGAUCGAAGACUUAAUCAA
rnacentral:rRNA from 1 species